rnacentral:rRNA from 1 species
AUGGACAUUCUAACAACAAAAGUUUGGGCUCCUGGAUUUGGCCUAUCCCUAGCGCAACGGACGGGAUGCAAUCGUCUCGUUAUAAAUUCUAAUAAUCUAGAGGUCAUUGAAACCAUGAAUAAUGGCGGACGGUCGGUGAGAGGAGCGGCUGCAGUUUUUAUGAUUGCUAAUUUCUUAGCUUGUGAUUUUGCUAUUUCUAGGUUCAAACAUUGUAAUAGAGAAGCAAAUAAAGUUGCGAACGAGCAUGCUAUAUUAACUAGUUUUUCUUAUAGUGUUGAUUGGUUUAAGGAGCCUAUGAAUUAAAUUGUACCUUUUCUCAUGAACGAUGUAUCUAUUAUUUCAGUUGAUUAA